AGGACGAACGCUGGCGGCGUGCUUAACACAUGCAAGUCGAGCGGUGAUCCUCCUUCGGGAGGUGAGCAGCGGCGAACGGGUGAGUAACACGUGGGCAACCUGCCCCUCACACUGGGAUAACCUCGGGAAACCGGGGCUAAUACCGGAUAUGACCUCGAGCGGCAUCUCUUGAGGUGGAAAGCUCCGACGGUGAGGGAUGGGCCCGCGGCCUAUCAGCUUGUUGGUGGGGUAAUGGCCUACCAAGGCGACGACGGGUAGCCGGCCUGAGAGGGCGACCGGCCACACUGGGACUGAGACACGGCCCAGACUCCUACGGGAGGCAGCAGUGGGGAAUAUUGCGCAAUGGGCGAAAGCCUGACGCAGCGACGCCGCGUGAGGGAUGAAGGCCUUCGGGUUGUAAACCUCUUUCAGCAGGGACGAAGCGAAAGUGACGGUACCUGCAGAAGAAGCACCGGCUAACUACGUGCCAGCAGCCGACGGU
rnacentral:rRNA from 1 species